UUCCGGUUGAUCCCGCCGGAGGUCAUUGCUAUUGGAGUCCGAUUUAGCCAUGCUAGUUGCACGAGUUUAGACUCGUAGCAGAUAGCUCAGUAACACGUGGCCAAACUACCCUGUCGAGCACCAUAACCUCGGGAAACUGAGGCUAAUAGUGCAUACGGCUCGAUGCCUGGAACUGGCUCGAGCUCGAAAUGCUACGGCGCGACAGGAUGUGGCUGCGGCCGAUUAGGUAGACGGUGGGGUAACGGCCCACCGUGCCGAUAAUCGGUACGGGUUGUGAGAGCAAGAGCCCGGAGACGGAAUCUGAGACAAGAUUCCGGGCCCUACGGGGCGCAGCAGGCGCGAAACCUUUACACUGCACGACAGUGCGAUAAGGGGACUCCAAGUGCGAGGGCAUACAGUCCUCGCUUUUCACUACCGUAAGGUGGUAGUGGAAUAAGUGCUGGGCAAGACCGGUGCCAGCCGCCGCGGUAAUACCGGCAGCACGAGUGAUGACCGCUAUUAUUGGGCCUAAAGCGUCCGUAGCCGGCUUCGCAAGUCCGUCGGGAAAUCCGCACGCUCAACGUGCGGGCGUCCGGCGGAAACUGCGUGGCUUGGGACCGGAAGACUCGAGGGGUACGUCUGGGGUAGGAGUGAAAUCCCGUAAUCCUGGACGGACCACCGGUGGCGAAAGCGCCUCGAGAGAACGGAUCCGACGGUGAGGGACGAAAGCUAGGGUCACGAACCGGAUUAGAUACCCGGGUAGUCCUAGCUGUAAACGAUGUCUGCUAGGUGUGGCACAGGCUACGAGCCUGUGCUGUGCCGUAGGGAAGCCGUGAAGCAGACCGCCUGGGAAGUACGUCCGCAAGGAUGAAACUUAAAGGAAUUGGCGGGGGAGCACUACAACCGGAGGAGCCUGCGGUUUAAUUGGAUUCAACGCCGGG
rnacentral:rRNA from 1 species